rnacentral:rRNA from 1 species
GACGAACGCUGGCGGCGUGCUUAACACAUGCAAGUCGAACGGAAAGGCCCUGCCUUUGUGGGGUGGUCGAGUGGCGAACUGGGGAGUAACACUUGAGUAACCUGCACCUACCUGUGGGAUAUCUUCAGGCAACUGGGGCUCUUACCGCAUAGGAUCUCUUGCUGCAUGGUGGGCGUUGGAUAGUUUCGGCGGUUGGGGAUGGAAUGGCGGCUUAUCAGCUUGUUGGUGGGGUAGUGUCUUACCAAGUCUUUGACGGGUAGCCGGCCUGAGCGGGCGACCGGACACACUAGACCUGAGAUACGGCACAGCCUAGAACCGGACGCAACAGUGGAGAAUAUUACAGAGUGGGGUGGAGCAAGAUGCAGCAAAGCAGCGUGCGGGAUGACGUGCUUCGGGUAGUAAACCAAUGCCUCCUGAGCCGAGGCGUGAGUGACGGUAACGGGUAAAGAAGCACCGGCUAACUACGUG